AACGAACGCUGGCGGCAGGCCUAACACAUGCAAGUCGAGCGAAGCCUUCGGGCUUAGCGGCGGACGGGUGAGUAACGCGUGGGAACGUGCCCUUUGCUACGGAAUAGCCCCGGGAAACUGGGAGUAAUACCGUAUGUGCCCUUCGGGGGAAAGAUUUAUCGGGAAAGGAUCGGCCCGCGUUGGAUUAGGAGGUUGGUGGGGUAAUGGCCUACCAAGCCGACGAUCCAUAGCUGGUUUGAGAGGAUGAUCAGCCACACUGGGACUGAGACACGGCCCAGACUCCUACGGGAGGCAGCAGUGGGGAAUCUUAGACAAUGGGGGAAACCCUGAUCUAGCCAUGCCGCGUGAUCGAUGAAGGCCUUAGGGUUGUAAAGAUCUUUCAGUGGGGAAGAUAAUGACUGUACCCACAGAAGAAGCCCCGGCUAACUCCGUGCCAGCCGCCGCGGUAACAC
rnacentral:rRNA from 1 species